rnacentral:rRNA from 1 species
UACGAAGGGGGCUAGCGUUGUUCGGAAUUACUGGGCGUAAAGCGCACGUAGGCGGAUAUUUAAGUCAGGGGUGAAAUCCCGGGGCUCAACCCCGGAACUGCCUUUGAUACUGGGUAUCUCGAGUCCGAGAGAGGUGAGUGGAAUUCCGAGUGUAGAGGUAGAAAUUCGUAGAUAUUCGGGAGGAACACCAGUGGCGAAGGCGGCUCACUGGCUCGGUACUGACGCUGAGGUGCGAAAAGCGUGGGGAGCAAACAGGG